rnacentral:rRNA from 1 species
CAAUAGCGUAUAUUUAAGUUGUUGCAGUUAAAAAGCUCGUAGUCGGAUUUUGGCUGAGAACGAUCGGUCCGCCGUUAGGUGUGCACUGAUUGGUCUCAGCUUCCUGGUGAGGAGGUGUGCUUCACGGCCACUUAGUCACCGUGGUUACUUUGAAAAAAUUAGAGUGUUCAAAGCGGGCUUACGCUUGAAUAUAUUAGCAUGGAAUAACACCAUAGGACUCCUGUCCUAUUUCGUUGGUCUCGGGACGGGAGUAAUGAUUAAGAGGAACAGUUGGGGGCAUUCGUAUUUCAUUGUCAGAGGUGAAAUUCUUGGAUUUAUGAAAGACGAACUUCUGCGAAAGCGUCUGCCAAGGAUGUUUUCAUUGA